rnacentral:rRNA from 1 species
CACGUAGGGGGCGAGCGUUGUCCGGAUUUAUUGGGCGUAAAGAGCUCGUAGGCGGUUUCGUAAGUCGGAUGUGAAAACUCCAGGCUCAACUUGGAGACGCCAUUCGAUACUGCGAUGACUUGAGUCCGGUAGGGGAGUGUGGAAUUCCUGGUGUAGCGGUGAAAUGCGUUGAGAUCGUGAGGAACGCCCGCGGCGAAAGCGAGCGCCUGGACCCUUUCUGACGCUGAGACGCGAAAGCCAGGGGAGCGAACGGG